rnacentral:lncRNA from 1 species
AUAAAAGUCCCCUAAGAGAUAUAUUCCAAAGGCAGUACAUGUUAGCUUUUAGUCUGUAAUCCAUAUCGAAGCAGAACUGAGGAAAAGAAAUUUCACCAGAAAAAUAAAGGAGAAAAAAAGAAAAAGGAAGGCCUCAAUGGCCAACAACAAAUCGUAAAAGUAAAUUAGAUCAGAUUGAACUUUGGAUUUCUUGGGUUGCGGCCAAGAAGUUGAUAACCGGAAUCAAAAUCCAAUGAUUGAUCUCAAAGCAUUGCCAUCUCAGCGCCAUACAUGCAGCUGGUCUGCUGCAUUAAUGAACAAUUUUAAGGUUUCAAAGGUAAGAAUGAUCAGACACCAAGUAAUAUUUUAAGGGGACUAUUAAAAGAGCAAGAGGCGUGUUCAAUCAAUAAACAAAUUAGAAGAUAUGCCUAUAUGUGUCUUUGUAACUCUCUGAACCUAACUAAUUGACCCACCUUAUUUUCAUCUAUUGUUAGUUGGAUAAAAUGCACUGGGCAUAGAGUGAAAAGGUAAAAACAUCAAAUUGUUACCAUAAUCAUUAUCUCAGAUAAAAUUUAGACCCGAAACAUAGUAUGGGGUAGGGGGUUUGAAUCUCUCAUGUUCUUGUAUUGAGAAAGAGAAUGAGAUCAGAAAGCUAUUUGUGUGAUUAUUGAGGGAUCCCAAGCCAGUUGACUCGCCACAUUUUCAUCUAUUGCUAGUUGGAUAGAAUGGGAGGGUGGGCAUGGAGUGAAAAGCUACAUUGAUCAAAUGGUUACCCUAAUCAUUAUCUCAGAUAAAAUUUUGACCUGAAAGAUCUAUGUGGUGGAUCCAAUAAGUUGUGGGUCCAUUGUCACAGCAAGGAGGGGUUCUUCCUGAGCAAGCAUCUGCUUCUCCUGUCCCAGACUGGUAUUCCUUAUUGGCAAGCACAUAGCUCAAAUUCAAGGAAAGGAAUAUAAUUAUUGACAAGUUUUACAAUAUAUGUGGCCCAAAUGUUUGAAAAACAAGAAAAGAAGAGUUAUUGAAGUACCUUUCUCUUUAACCAGCUGCUGUACUUGAAGCUCCUUUCUUGCUUUAAUAUAUUCCAUAAGGGGUAAAGGAGAUUCCGGGAUGAUGCCAGACGACCCAUGGUAUUUUUAGGUCAGUAGGAGAAGGUCCGGUGAAUCAAAAGUCAUUUAAACAAAGGUGCCUCAUCAAUUAUUAUUCCAUGAGGGACCCAGUCAAGGAGAUCUACAAAUCCAAAAGCAUGGAAAGAAGAUGAGAAGAAUAUGGCCUCAGGAAUCAGGAAAAGAGAAACAAAAGGAACUAGUCACCAUCCCACCAAAGAAUAAUUGAAUUUUAUUGCUGCGAGUUUAUAGAAUGAACAGUGUUGCAUGAUGAAAAUGACGCGAGCAAUAUGUCACUUAUCAGUUUUUCUAUCCAUGCACUAUCUUAGUAAUGGAAAAACUUUAGAAGAAUGUAAAAAGAAUAAGGAUGAAUCUAUGCAAAUGACAGUAAAUACUUUUCUCAUGUAUCAAUACAUAAAGAGCAAUCAUGAAAUCAUAAUAAUAAUAAAAAAAAGAAACAUUCACACAAUGGUGCAAAAUCAUAAGGUCAUUUUCUUCAACUUACUUUCAUCCACACAUCUCAACAAAAAGUGCAAAAAAGGUAACAUGCAUUGCCAAGUUAGCCCCUGCAAUCUUUACUUAAUUUUCAUUUCAUCCCUACUCAAGCCCCCACAAUGAAGAAAUCAUAACUCCUCCCAUCCCACCUGCGUGUUGUUUGCAAAUGUGGCUGCUUCAGUCCACCAUCCAAAAUCAUAAUGUGAGUCUAGUGUAAACAUGGCCCAUCAACCCAUCAAUUUCUAAAGCAUAAUUAAGCAGUAUAUGGCAAACCAGAUAAAAAUUGAAUUCCAUCAUUCCAUUGUAUUAUUAACAGAAAGAACAAAAAAAAAUUGUAUGAUAAUGGGCUAAUUAUAACAAAUGGAAGCAUUGGUACAAGGAAAAUGAAUGUCUCCAAAAUAGCAUCUCUUGAAAUUUUAGAAGUAAAUUUGUUUUCAAUAAAGAGUGAUAAAAACUAACAAAUGCAAUGAAAAGUAAAAUGAGAGGAUGUCAUUCCCUUGAGGUUCUGAAACACACCCCUAAUGAAUAAGUCACCUCCAGAUGGGGCUCAUGCCUCAAUCAGUUCUUUAGGAGACAUACACAGUUACACCCUAUCUUCUGUGAGCUACAAAUGAACUUCCAAUCACCAAACUUCAGUAUUCAACCAGUAAAUCACCUGGUGUUUUGAGCAAACAUGAGAAUUAGUUUGCUAAAUAAUCUAGAACUUCAAAUCAUGAGCCAAAUAUAUGCAAAAGUUAAACAAAGAACAAGGUCAAUGACUGCAAUUGAAGUUUAAUGUAUUUCCACCUUUGCCUAAUUUAAGUUAUGUUCUGUCAAAGAUGGCCCAUAGUACUUGAACCUUUUAAAACCAUAAUUUUCAGCCAUGUUUACAUAGGUUUUGUGGUUAAUGGAGGAUGCCCGGUUUGAAGUUCACCUCAUGUCAGCUGUAAAAAAAUUUCAAUAUUCUUAAUGUAGAAUAUGACCUUUAUGUCGCACAUAUGAUGGCUUUCUUCACCAAGACAAGGAAUGUCAUACAUGUUUCAUUUAGUGAUAUUCAAUAUCUAGAAUCUGUGUGAGGAACAACAUCUUUGUCUAAGACCCCACAACUUGAUUGAUAGGGACAAAAUAGAAUCAUGCAAAAAUAUUCCCUCAAAUAAUUCAGGCAAGACUGAACUCAUUUCUGAUAAAAUGGUACACCCAACACCUUCUACCUCUUUGUUGACAAGACUUGAACCCAGAGCCUGGAUGGAUGAGGCCUGAGCUUCACAAAGAGAAGAAGCUGUAGAUACUGAUAUAAUCAGUUUCUCAAGAAAAUUAAACCAGUAGAGCACAGGAGGUCUCAGAGAAUUUAUACAGAGAAGUUACUUUUCCUAUUUUGUAGUGGAUAUUGAAUUAUUUAAGAUAUUGUACAUUCUCAAAACUUAAAAUAACAUUGGAACAAGAGCAUGUCAAAAGUGAAGUUUGAAGUCUUUCCUUGCAGAAGACCAUUCUUGUCUUUCUUGGAGAUCUUCUCUCCUUUGAUUUAUUUAAUCCCAUCUUCUUCCUUCACAACUGCUUUCAGAAGCGAGUUUUGAUCAACCCUAUACAUGUUAAGUAGAUGCAUUGUAAAUUCUCAACCCUGAUGAAUAGAGUUUCAUUCUUCAGAACAAGAUUUUCCUGUCAAUGAAUUUAAAAUUGCCUGUAGAUGGUCCACAAUAUUUUCUGAUAAAUCUAGAACACACUUCUGAACAACAUGCCAUUAAUUUUCUGGGUGCCAAGAGGACAAAGAGAAAGAACAUAAAACUCAGAGCUUUACUAUUAAUCUCAUAUGAAUGGUUGAUGCACUACUUAAUAGUUUAAGCUUCUUGAGGUAAUUGAUAACUUACUAUGAUAUCAUUUUUUUGUAACCCGUAAAUUGUGAUUUUCCUCUUCACAUGUGGAUAUGAGGCCAUAUAAGGGGUGCAUGGUUGGGUGUUAGCUUGAUAUACACUGUUGCCCCACUAAGCUGUUGGGUUUAUAUGGUCCUUUACAUGGUAGUUGCAAUAUAUUUUAUUUUAUUUGCACCCUAAAAGAAUGAUGGCAACCUCCCAGAUCAGCAUGGCAGAAUUCACAUGUCAAAUAUCUCCUGAAGGUUUCUAAAUCUAGUUACUCAAUUACUAUCUCUCUUAUUCCAGGGGUUCAUUUUUGCUGAUGAAGUCCAAAGUUUCUAGGCAGAACCUCAAGUCUCCCCAGUCAAUUCAUUACCUUGGAAAUUCCAAGACAACAAAAGAAAGUAUACGUUCGUGUCAUUUAUGUCUUUUAAGCAAUGUUAUUAGUGUUACACGGAAACUGUUUCUUGUCACUCACAGUUCAUAUAUCCAAUGUGAAUUUUUUAAGUCAACAUAUACUCACAAAAAGUGUCAUGGGGAAAGAACCAUGGACACCUGCUUCAUGUAAUAAAAUCAAUACCAAUUAAUAGUGAUCAGAUGAUAAUCUUAAAUGACAACCUAGGAUUUGGAUACACCUGAAAUUGUGUGAGCACUGGGGUUUAUUUUAAUGUAGUUGGGCCCAUUAGAAGAUUGUGGUAGGAGGUCUCCUAGCUGGUUUCUAACUUCAGUGCAUAUAGGUCAUCAGACUCAUCACCCAAUUCCAUACAUAUAGUUCUUGUGCCUUUUCAAUUCCUAUAGACUAGAGGAAUAAGAAAAUUAGGUGUAGAACCUUUUCCUUUUUCUCCUCUUUUAUAAUGAAGUAAAAUAACCACCAUGAUCAUCAUAUAAUGGAACUCCCGGAGGUAUAUCUUCCUUUCAAUGAUCUAAUCUUAUUUGAGGUUAAUAAACCUGUAAUUCAUUUAUGUGUGUGUAUAGCACAUAUGCUUCAGUCAUCACCUGGGCACCACAUGCUGAACACAUGGCAUUAGCUUGAUGUGUCACAUAGGCUACGUGGUGGUCGGACUUUGGCUUAGUGGUUGUUCUUGCCAGCUUGAAUAAGUGACCUUGAGAAUCAAUGGCAAGGGUAAAAAACUAGCAGGUUGCUUACGGUGUGCUUGGCAUGUCAUCUUGACACUUCAUUAGGUCAAUGGCAAGCCCAGUGAAUCCCCACAAGGACUUGAUGCAGUAGACAAUGAAAAAGUCAGCUCACUGUGAACUCUAGAAUAGUCGAGGGUCUUGAUUCCAUGGCUACAGCUGAAUCUCAUCAAGAUGUUGAUCCUCUGCUGUAUGUCACCUUCUUGAUCUAUAUGUGAGAAAGGCCCCCAAGGGGUUUGUCAUCUUCACUCUGUCUUUAAGACAAAAGUCAGCUCAUUCUUUCCUAGGGCAGAUGUCAGCUCAAAUCUAUCCCCAGUACAUGUUGUAAAGGCUGUCUACAUUGUAACUAGUGGAACCUACAGCUCCUGAGUUUUCCAGCAGCAGAGCUGGUCUUCACUGGCCAGCCCCUUUAAAUGGAACCAUUUUAACAUCUUCUAGCUCUGGGUCUCACUGUCUUCCUCCACCCUCCUUUUCUCUUAGGUUGUUGUGCUCUGCCCUCACUCCUGCUGUUCUCACAAGACCACUCAUCUCACAUGGUCUAUCUCCUGCAUCUAUGAACUAUACUUACACAUUUUCCCUACUAACCAAGGGGUAAAAGUAAUGCAGUUAGAUGAGCAACAGAUGGUACUUAUGUUUUUAUUGCUUUGUCGUCACUUAAAUACCACCGGGCAACCAUCUAACCACUAAAUCUGUUAUAAACAUUUGUAUAGAUUUAAAUGUAAGAAAAUUUAAUUACAUUUAAACCCAAACACAUGUCAUCUGGCUAGACACAAGUUAUACAUUUCCAGCUCUACUUAUGCCAUCCACGCCCUAAAUUCCAAUAAAGGGACUGAAAGCCUGCUAGAUUAAGCAGUAAACCAAGCAUUACCUAAGAGGCAGGCAUUCUUUUCCAUGAAUAUUGCCAAUGACACUUGAACAGAAUGGCAUUCCUGUAUAGACUUGGAUAAAACUCUAAACCUGGAAAAAAAAAAUAUGAAUAUUUACUAGGUGAUGAUACGAAAAAGCAUACAGAGAAUUGGAUUUACCCUGGAAGCCAAGAGGUGAAACCAUAAAAGGAGUUCUUGAUUGAUUAGGAUGACAGUACAUUGAGAUCAAGCAAACCCUAGAUUUGAGCCUCUCUGUUUUAGUCCAUGCUCCCAAAAAUUGUUAAUCAGGAUAGGAUGGUAAGACACUUGAGAUAUUAUCAAGGGAAAAUUGACUCUGAAUAAUAGAGCCAGUAACUUGAUGGAAUGGAAAUGACCUUUGGUUAUGAUGAAUUCAUAGUGUGAUCUAUGCCCUUCAUAGGCUAUCAAAGGUGAACUAUACUGCAGAAAGCAAAUUUUCUUAGGUAUGAGAGGCAGAGGAAAUUUCAUGUCCAUAAAUUAAAAAUUAAAAAAUACAAGGAAUUAAAGAAAAUGAAAUAUAAAGUACAGUAACACUAAAUGCAAUAGUGAAGAACAAAUAACAAAACUAAAAUCUCUUUGGAACUUCUUUGAAACAUGUAAUAGAGACUAGAAAUCCAGUGAUGAAAAAAAGUACAGAAUGCAGAUUCAACUUUUAAGAUUUCUAAAGAAGCUUAUUAAUAUUUAAUUAUGGGAAACCAAUGUAGGCUUCAAGUGAAAUUUCCUUCAUACCUGUCACUAAUCAUGUUUAAUACCAUAUUUUCUGCCAUUCCCAGGCUUCUGCAGCCCCUUAACUUCCAUUGUCCCACCCUAACCUAACGCACAUCUAGCUCCAAAUGCAACACAUUAUUAAGCCAUUUCCAGCUACACCCUUCUAACAAGCUCACCACAUUAUUAAGGCACGAAAAAUUCCAGACAACUAAUGUUGCAAAAAAAAAAAAAAAAAAGGCAUCAAAUCCGAAAUAAAAAUCGUUUUGAUAAACACAGAGUAACCCUAUCAGUUUCAAGAAAGCCAUGACAAAGCAGAACCCAUAAACACCAAUAAGUUCAAUCAACCGGCUUUGGGGGAUUUCAGUUUUUUUGUAUAAGCAAUUACUUCUGGGCGUCAAAGAAAGAUGGGUUAAUAAAUGCAGUCAAAGGAUCAUUCAGAACUAAGUUGAUAAGGACCAUUUGGAGAGAAACCCAGAUGGUAAAACUGGUUUUCAUCAAAACCCACUAAUCAAAAUCAGAAGAAAAAUACCUCUAACCAAUCAAUCUGUGAUGGAAAAU